rnacentral:rRNA from 1 species
CUGAUAAUCUCUGGCUGCUGUGUGUGUGGUCAGCGAAUUGUAGUCUAGAAUGGUCACCUUGUGCACAGCUCGUUCUGGUAAAGUCCACUUGGAAUAGUGUGCCGGAGAGGGUGAGAGCCCCGUGUAACGUGUUGGGCCAGAUCUGAGCGUGUAAUCGGUGGCCGUUGAUGAGUCGGGUUGUUUGGGAUUGCAGCCCAAAGUGGGUGGUAGACUCCACUGAAAGCUAAAUAUACCCACGAGACCGAUAGUGAACAAGUACCGUGAGGGAAAGAUGAAAAGCACUUUGAAAAGAGGGUGAAAAGACCGUGAAACCGUUAGGAGGGAAACGAACAGGCUGACCGUUGCGUCAGCAAGAUUCAGGCAAGUUGUGCUGUCGAGUCUGGUGGCUGUUGGCUGGUCUGAGUGUUCUGAUCAUGUAGGAUGCAAGCCGAUGCUCCAGAGUAAACUCGGCCUUCUCUGCUGUACUUCAUGCUGUACGAAGCUAGUCACGUUCGUCUGUGUGUUGUGUGUGUGU